UAUAUAGUACCAUGACAUUGUCCACUGCA
rnacentral:piRNA from 1 species